AUGUCAGCAAGGAAGAGGAACAACCAACAUCUGCUUCCAAAUGAAGAGAAUGGGAAUAAUCCUCCCAAAAGAAAGAAGGAUGUCAGCAAUGAAGACAACCUCCAGUUGUUUGUUAAAUUUCUGUCUGAACUUAAUGAUACUCAGAAGAACAUAGUUCGAAAACUUGGCUUCGCUUCACUGCUACGAAUCAGCUGUGCCUGCAACAUUGAUGAUAUUUUCAUGUGGCUUGCAUUACAAUUCAAUACUGCAACAUGCACUCUGGAGCUGAGGAAUGGAUUCAAUUUUGAAUUCAACACAUCUAUUGUUCAUAAAAUCCUUGGAAUUCCUGCUGGUGGCUUACCAAUAAAUUCUACACCAACCAAAGAAUGUGUAGAUAUUAUCAAUAACUUUGUACAAUCAUCAGCACCUACUAUAGAGCAUCUUAUUGCGAUGAUUACGGACAACAUUUCCGAAGAAAAUUUCUCUACUAUAUUCUUGCUCCUCGCUAUCUCAAGCUUGAUUGCUCCUAAUGCGAAAGGUUCCCCAUCAAAGAAAUUCUACAGUGCUCUGCAAAACAUUAGUUAUGCUGGCAAAUACAACUGGUGCCUUUCAACUCUAUCCUACCUAGUUGCGCACUUCGAAUUCUUAAUUACUUCUGAAUUCAAGUUCCCUAUCGACAUACUGCCAAGACUCCCAUUGUGGUCAUCUAGCUUGCUAAAAACUUUCACAGCCCUAGACACAAUGCACGGUGUACACCUUCAGUUCGGAAGACUUCCGGAGAAGGCACUGCUUGAAGAUAUGACCAAGAAAUUUUGGCAAACGAUAAUAUCAAACUCCAUUCCAACAACGGAAAGAUACAUUGAUGAUCUCCAUUCGACAAUCUCCAAGAGUUUCACCCACAUCAACAAUGAAAUGACAGAGUCUGCAAAUGAACAAAUUACAUCCCCGAACAACCACAUUUCAUUACACCAGCAAGCUGAACAAAUCUACUCAAACAAAUACUUCAAGGAUCCAACAACUUUUUUAUCGUCACAUGAUUUCCUGGAUUUCGCAAUGCCUUACAGUAAUCCUCCAAACUGGGAAAAGGAAGAUGGAGAUUCAUCUAUUCAAUGGUUGGACAAGAAAUUCUCACAGUGCCUCCUUUUAGAAAACUCAUCAGGCAUUGAUGACCUGUUUCAGAAAAGGUCACCAACCUUUGAAGAUUUGUUCGUCAUCGAUAAAAUAAAUAAACAAUAUGACUACCCAGAUAUUGAUUUCCUCCAAGAUAGCAAACUGUACUGUUUGCAACAAGAAAAAGCAGCCAACAGAUUCGGUACACCUAUACCAGACCCUAUCAUGUACCAAGUCCUGGAAGAUUAUGAAGCUGAAUGUUUGCUCAGAGAUAAAGCAGCAGCAGAGCAGCCACCACUGCAGAACUUCUCUUCAGCAUCAAAAUUGCACAUAACAACUCAGCUCAAUUCGGAACAAGUUAUUUUCUCAACAGCAGCUCAAGCAGAUUUCUUCAAAAUGAUGUCGUCACUUCUACCUCAUAUAGACAUCAGCCAAAGGAUAUUCCAAAUAGAUAACGUGUGGGUCGAUCAAAAAACUUUGACUGUUUCAAUGAGGCCAGGCGGCUGGAUGAACCCACACACUUUGGAUUGCUAUUCUAAAAUGCUCAACACAGAUCUACUCAAUCGGGGAAGGCAGGGUCUAAUACCAAGCAAUGAACCUAUUGUCCAUAUCGUCGGCACAGAAGACAUGGUUCAUCUGCCUUGCUUCAAUGACAAACAGUGGAUUGUAAUCACUGCUAACUUUGACAGUGGCAAAUUCUUUGAUAUAAUGAACCCUGAUGGAUCUGGAAACAACAAAUUCACUUCAAUUAUCAGCACUGUUACAUUCAACUUCAAGAGUCUGUUUGCGAAAACAUACCCAAAUUGCAUCGCAUUCAACAUAAAAGAAUUUGACUACCGUUUCGUUCCAGUACCCCGGACUCAUUUCAGGUACGACACCGGCAUAUUCCUCCUGCAAAUUCUAAAAACAUACCGGGGGAUGGGAGUGCCAGGAUUCACAACUCAUGACCUACAGGCCUUAAGAGAAAUUUUUCUCUACGAAAUUGCGACUUGUUCCAACAGUGAAGUUCAACUACCAUUGGUCAAAGCUUUCCAACAAAAUCACGGUUUCCGGCUAUUCAGGUGA
rnacentral:rRNA from 1 species